rnacentral:rRNA from 1 species
AUUGAACGCUGGCGGCAGGCCUAACACAUGCAAGUCGGACGGUAGCACAGAGGAGCUUGCUCCUCGGGUGACGAGUGGCGGACGGGUGAGUAAUGUCUGGGGAUCUGCCCGAUAGAGGGGGACAACCACUGGAAACGGUGGCUAAUACCGCAUAACGUCGCAAGACCAAAGAGGGGGACCUUCGGGCCUCUCACUAUCGGAUGAACCCAGAUGGGAUUAGCUAGUAGGCGGGGUAAUGGCCCACCUAGGCGACGAUCCCUAGCUGGUCUGAGAGGAUGACCAGCCACACUGGAACUGAGACACGGUCCAGACUCCUACGGGAGGCAGCAGUGGGGAAUAUUGCACAAUGGGCGCAAGCCUGAUGCAGCCAUGCCGCGUGUAUGAAGAAGGCCUUCGGGUUGUAAAGUACUUUCAGCGGGGAGGAAGGCGGUGCGGUUAAUAACCGCGUCGAUUGACGUUACCCGCAGAAGAAGCACCGGCUAACUCCGUGCCAGCAGCCGCCGUAA